rnacentral:rRNA from 1 species
AACGAACGCUGGCGGCAGGCCUAACACAUGCAAGUCGAGCGCCCUUUCGGGGGAGCGGCGGACGGGUGAGUACCGCGUGGGAAUAUGCCCUUCUCUACGGAAUAGCCUCGGGAAACUGAGAGUAAUACCGUAUACGCCCUAUGGGGGAAAGAUUUAUCGGGGAAGGAUUAGCCCGCGUUGGAUUAGGUAGUUGGUGGGGUAAUGGCCUACCAAGCCGACGAUCCAUAGCUGGUUUGAGAGGAUGAUCAGCCACACUGGGACUGAGACACGGCCCAGACUCCUACGGGAGGCAGCAGUGGGGAAUCUUAGACAAUGGGGGCAACCCUGAUCUAGCCAUGCCGCGUGAGUGAUGAAGGCCUUAGGGUUGUAAAGCUCUUUCAGCUGGGAAGAUAAUGACGGUACCAGCAGAAGAAGCCCCGGCUAACUCCGUG